ACGUAGAGAUGUUUGACGCCACUGUAGAGAUGAUAUAAGAAUUAGAUCAUCAGAAAUUCUGCAGAAAAUCCACCAUCACAACAGAUUCUGAUGACAAGCUCCAUCAGAGGCAACAUAAACUGGAACUGGACGUUAAGAGUUUGAUAUUGCAGAACCAACUUCAUGCAUUGAAAAUAAAAAAAGUGAACAUGAAUAUCAAAAUAAUCAAUAAAAUGAAUUAAUUUGA